UUCCAUUCAAAUCAUUCAUCAUCUUCUUCAUAAUUUCUGACUGCAAUCAUUCAUCAUACAAUAUAACUGCAAUCGACGUCGAAUCGCAAGAGAGUGGAAGAUGAAAACAAUUUCCAAUGUUACGUCAAACUAGAAGAAAAUUGGAAGAAAAGUCGUUCCAACAUUGUGCGCGGCGGCGACGGUGAGCUCCAUCAAAGGAACCGAAGGCAUUCUCUCUCCUCCUUCAACAACAAGGAGGGAAGAACCCCAAAACCCCAAAUCGAUUUCAAAUCUCUCUUCGCAAAAUACGAAGUCGCUGGUUUUGUGCAGGAUCGAUUUUUGUU
rnacentral:lncRNA from 1 species